rnacentral:snRNA from 1 species
GGAUGUGAGGGUGAUCUGGCUGUGACAUCUGUCACCCCAUUGAUUGACAGGGUUCAUCAGGCUGAUCUGACUGGCUAGGCGCGUGUCCCCUUCCUCGCCCACCGAUCCAUGUGUGUCCCUCCAGAAGCUGUGAAGCUGCAUAUGCUGGGUCAAAGAGGCCCCUCUCGUGGCCUGUGAUCCUCUGCACUCUGGGCUCUGC